rnacentral:rRNA from 1 species
UGCGCAGGCGGACUAUUAAGUCAGUGGUGUAAUCUCUCGGCUCAACCGAGAAACUGCCAUUGAAACUGAUAGCCUUGAGUAUGGUUGUGGUAGGCGGAAUAUAGCAUGUAGCGGUGAAAUGCUUAGAUAUGCUAUAGAACACCGAUCGCGAAGGCAGCUUACCAAACCAUUACUGACGCUCAUGCACGAAAGCGUGGGGAGCAAACAGGAUUAGAUACCCUGGUAGUCC